AUUUAUGAAAAUGAGCUGACACGUAUACGGCCGUAUAGCCAUUUUCAAUAGUACUAAAUAUGAAGCAAAAUUUUCGUUUAGCGCCGGUGUAAGAUUAAACGGUGUUUACUCAAGUACAUACUUUGCUAUAUUCUGGUUUGAUCACUAUCCUAUAUUGAGCCCAAAGGAAGUGAACGACAUUUAUAUACAUAUUAAUUCAUCUUGCACAGUAAUAAAUGCAAUAAUGAAGCAUUAAAGAAUAAAG